GGGAAUAUGGCUUAGUGGUAGAGUCCUUGCCUUGCAUGUAUGAAGCCCUGGGUUCAAUCCCCAGCACCACCA
rnacentral:tRNA from 1 species